GCCGGUGUAGCUCAGUGGUAGAGCAACGGUUUUGUAAACCGUUGGCCGUCAGUUCGAUCCUGACCACCGGCU
rnacentral:tRNA from 1 species